UUACUGCAGUAAUAAAAGCAGCAAAUGUUAUUGCUAUUACUGUUAAUGUUAUUAUUUGAAUGCACCAAAACGACAAAAAUAUAAAUAAUAAUAUCUUAUAGUUUUAUUACAAUGAUAAUAGUGCGCAAAUGAAAUUAAUAAAUUCUAAAAGGGAUUUUCAUUUCGCAAAAUCUAUGUAUAUUGGAAUUCAUAAUCAUUGUAGAAUAAGUUUGACAAAUCGCUUCUUCCAUUUAUUCAUUAAUUCUUCAGAAGUUUAUAAAGACCACCGUUUUUUUCAAUAAUGGCUAUUCAAAUUGUAUCGUGAUUGGUUUACAGUUAUCCGAGUAUCAUUUCAAAGAUAAAGGACUUCUUCCAAAAUGGCCUUUUUCAGAGGUGGCUUACAUAAUUGCUUCUGGCAUUCUGUUCCACAGUCAAAUGGUAAUUCCGAAUUGUACACCAAAGCAGUUUGUCAACUUGAUGCAUUCAUUUUCUUAUGGAAAGUCCACUGAGAUCAAUAAGAGACUAUGGGACUACAUCGCAAAAAGCCAAGAGCUGAAAAAAUUGGCAUCCUUAUGAAGGGAGCUGAGUCAUAUAACUGUGUGGAUAUUGGAAACAUUAUUUCGAGUGUUAAGUACAUUGCAAACGACAAACGAUUACAUAUUAAAACGGUAUAUUAUUAUGUGAUAAAUAUAUAUUAUACAUUUUUU